GUGAACGCUGGCGGUAGGCCUAACACAUGCAAGUCGCACGGCAGCACAGUAAGAGCUUGCUCUUACGGGUGGCGAGUGGCGGACGGGUGAGGAAUACGUCGGAAUCUACUUUUUCGUGGGGGAUAACGUAGGGAAACUUACGCUAAUACCGCAUACGACCUACGGGUGAAAGCAGGGGAUCUUCGGACCUUGCGCGAUUGAAUGAGCCGAUGUCGGAUUAGCUAGUUGGCGGGGUAAAGGCCCACCAAGGCGACGAUCCGUAGCUGGUCUGAGAGGAUGAUCAGCCACACUGGAACUGAGACACGGUCCAGACUCCUACGGGAGGCAGCAGUGGGGAAUAUUGGACAAUGGGCGCAAGCCUGAUCCAGCCAUACCGCGUGGGUGAAGAAGGCCUUCGGGUUGUAAAGCCCUUUUGUUGGGAAAGAAAAGCAGCAGGUUAAUACCCCGCUGUUCUGACGGUACCCAAAGAAUAAGCACCGGCUAACUUCGU
rnacentral:rRNA from 1 species